CGGCCGAAACGAAGUCGAAUUCAGUCGGGGAGGAAGCCGCCGGGAGCGCCGGGUGAAGGAGUAAUUAUUUUUUUUUAAAAAAAAAAAGAGAGAGAGAGGAAAGGGGGGGGGAGGAUGAUUUUCAGAUGCAGAAGUAAGAGGAGAACAGAGAGGAAAAAAAAAAAAAAAAGAAAAGAAACAACGGACAAGACAAUAUGGCGAGAAGCGAAAGCGAAGAAAACGAAGGACACCAAGUGAAUGAAUUUGGCGAUGAUUAGAAUUCUAUGUCGGGGAUGGAGAAAGAAGGGAGGAGGAGCGUGUCGAAGGAGAGAAAAAAUGUAGUCUUAGCGGUUUGGAAGGGCAGUUUGGGUAGGUUAGGUGGGAGAGUAAGACUUCGGGGCGGAGUGUUCCAAGGAAAGAGCGACUGGACUGAGCGACUGGACUGGGAUGAAAAUGGGAAAGAGCAGGAAUGGAGGAGGAGCAUUGGCACCUGCUUACGCUCGCUACGUCCAAGUUACUUACUUACUACAUGCAUCGAGAUUAUUGUCCUUGGUUAUUGACGACUACUGCUACUACAACUACUACCACGACAAUCCCACAAACACAACAUCUCGACGGCGUACAGCGGAGCCAUACACUGUACAGUCAGUCAGUGUGCAGACAGACUCUUCUCUGUUCUCUUCCAACGGCUCAACUCAAUUGACAGUGGUGGGCCUUGAAGUCCAUGACGACUCUGGGCCCUUCGGUUGACCCAGUGCUGACCCUGGCCCGGCGACGUUAGGCUGGAUGCGGCGGCCGGAACGGGCUCAGCGCGAAUCAACUGGCGAUAAGGCUCCAUAAUUCAUUUGCGCAAGCAAGUUUUGUCUAUUUUUACUUUUUUACUUUUUUUGCCUUGUUACUCCGUCUGAUUCGUACCUUUUCGCUUGUCGUUCGGUUCUCUUCGGAUUUAGGAGUUGUAAAUACUAUGUAGAUACUUUCCAGUUGAAUCAAUUCUAAACCCAUCAUCCAUCCAGUCCCGAGCGCUUUCAAUCAAGUUGCGAUCGUAAUGGAUGGCCGCCAAAGCGGUAAGCGACAUCACCAAUAGCCGUCAUCGGCUUAUCGUCCCCCCGGGAUGUCUCAAAACUUCUCAACCGCUGAGAGACAUGACAACUAUCGAUUCUACUCUGUACUCACUCACUCUGUACAUGACCCUCCCAUCCUCAACGAAGCUCUGACCGUCGCCUGCUGCCCCUGACGAGAAGGUAGGUCGUACAUGGUACGACGGCCCAGGGCACACGUACGACACACCGUUUCCCUGAUCAGGCCUGAUCGGUCGUGAUCAGUGGACUAGAGCAGCCACCAAACAAGAUAUCUCGACAAUAGCGCCAGUGAUUAUUAUGUGUAUGCUCGUAGUAUACUCCUUACUCGUAGUUUACUAGCUAGCUACUGUACUACGUAGUGAGUUAACUUACCAAGGAAGUAGUCAGACAGAGUAUAUAAUUGCCUAGCGUGGCGUUAGUUAUCUGACGAGGUGCUGACUUAGUACUAGUACGCAUCUGUCUAAGAGUACGGCCGUGAUGGAGUUAUGCACGCUAUCGGAUCGGCUAGGCAGAAACCGCUGGGCCCAGUGGUGUUUCGUCUGAGCGUGGCUUGCUUAGCUUGUUUCCUGGUCCACACGCUGGCGCUGGCAGCUUCAAGGUUGGUGUUAAUUGCGUUAGUUUAAUUAGUUCAACUCCGUACCGCGUUCCCAACUUGCGCCAGCGCGACGGAAGUUUAUACAUGUCCAAGAUUCAUAUCCCGAUCGCUGACAUCGUACGUCCGUAGUAGACUCCGUACGUACGACGAAGUACAGAUACGUAUCACGCAAUUAGUUACUUUAUGCAUCAAUUGUGAAGGCAUAAUACGCGUAUAUCUAAUAUCCAACCAGAUCUCUCUCGGCAGAUCGCUCUAGCACAACUACAAGCAUUCUUCUCGUUGACUUGGGCAAACCAGCGAAAAAUAAACUUUGUCGCCAUUGCGGACGAUGUUCGCUUCCGUGAUUUGGGCCUGUUUCUCUAGCGAAAAGAAUUCCCCGUUGCGGAGGUACACAAUGCACAUACUGGAAUGCCAUGCAGCCCCGUUGAUUGGUUAGCGCUUCAGGUCCAGUAUGUGCUACCUAUACUACGGAGUACGUAGUAGAAUAUUUGACCAGAUCCGGUCUCAACUACUACGUAGUGACUCCGUACUGUCUAUUCGAUAUUUUCGAUUUUUGACACGGAUGACGCCCAACCCCUACAGGGGACGCUAACCAUUCUACCCUGUACCCGAGGAGCGUACGUGUUACCGCCACCAAUUGAUCCGAGCACUGAGCACACAGAAAGAAGGAAAAAGAAAGAAAGAAAAGAAAAGAAGAAAGGUGGGCCAUCGUUCCAAACUUCUAACCGUUUUCGGAUACAUCGAUUGGUCGCGAACAAAUCAGGUGUCUGGAUUGUAGUUUUUGAUUCUUAAAAGUUAAUGCAAUAAGAUAAACUUCGUGUGCCCAGAGAUCGACAUCGGCACAGCCACUGAAUGGCCAGACAGCUUCAUGUGUAGCAGACAGUGUUUUUUUUUUUUUUUUUUUUUUUUUUUUUUUCUUUUUUUUGUUCAGUAUCCAGUACGGUACUCCCUACUUGGUAGGAUGGAUGAAGAUUGUGAUGGGACUGAAGAUACGAAUGCAGUACAAUAUUCACGCUCGGAUUCCAAGGUUCAAUUUAAAAGGUUCGAGGACUACCCACCAAAUCGGGCACACUCGCCUCACCUCAAGCCCGCCGACGAUCAAUUCAAGAUGCAGCCGCGCAUCCGGAGUUAUGUUAUUCACAGUUACGUACUUACUCUCGUAGUCCAAUUUCAAUACCAGGUCCCUGACUCCCUGUGCGAUAAAAAACAUGCCAUUGGCCAACCCCUAAUUAAGAAAGUUGGCAGAGAUCUGUCCGCCACGGCUCGGGGUGCGAUUGGCUGUUCCCGUAGUUGUCUCAUAGUUGGGUUAUUCUGCAGAUACUCUCUGUAUUUGUAAGUAUCGAGGACGUAGGUGUGAAAGUCAACCAAAGCCAUAGGUUCUACUACUACAUUCUAAUCGUAGA
rnacentral:lncRNA from 1 species